rnacentral:lncRNA from 1 species
UGGUUGGAUGGAGUCAGGUGCAUAAAAUAGGGACGGUUUUCUCCAAGGUGAGUUGCUGCAACAGUUCCACAGGGAACGCAAGUCUUUAUGGUGUAAUGCCAUCAGUGCAUAAUGAAUUGCAUAGCAAUGUAUGGGAUGCCAAUACUGCAGUAAGGACACCUCAUUUACAAAGGGACAGCUUCUCUUCGUCUAUUUGGAAGCUUAUUUUGUAGGCUUUCAUUUCCUAUCCUUGUUUCCCUCAAAGAAUUUCUCAUCCUUUUUCUGCAUAUUGGCUUGGAAGGCUGCUCCUUUGUGCUUAUUUUGGACUAUUUAGAGAGAGAAAAUUAGGAGAGUUUUGGUGCCUUGGUGCCUUUUGCACAUCACGUAUGCUUUUGUUAGGCGUUGUUAGUAUAAUUGGUCUUUACCUAUUAAAAUAAAAACAUUUUUUCUACAUGUUCUUCCACAUUUUGGUAUUUUAAUGAGAUUUCAAAUGUCUAGAAAAACAAGGAUUCCAUUAAGGAUUAAGUCAUGCUAACCUAAAAGAGUCUCUUUGACCAUGGAGGGUAACACCCAAACUACACCAAACAAAGAGAAGAGAAACCACCAUGAAAACCUUGUUUUGACACAAUGAUGGAGAAUGUAAUCAACCGAUUCCUCUUAACCUUUACAAAGAAAGCAUUUAUUCAAGAAGGAAACAGCCACAACCUAAAUCAAAGCAAGUCCAAGACUCGGAUCCCAUAAUAAGUACUGAAUUGUUCCCUUCUAAUUUGCCUUCUUUGAAGGUCAAGAACAUACUGGAAAAUGAUAGUACCCAUGAUGAUCAUUUUUUUUUUUUUUUUUUUGAUAGGAAACCACACUAGAAUAUAUUGAUAGAAAAGAAGUACAAAAGGAGGAUGAGAAAUCCUCCCUCCAAAAGAAAACUAGACAACAAGAAAAAAUAACAAAGCACUAGACCGUCCCAAUAGAACUAUUUGAACAACACACUGAUAGCCAAUCAAGUUGUAGUACGUUAAGGGGGGUGCCCUUAAAACCCGCUGAACAAAACGCCCAAAGGGACGCAAGGAAAUGAAUGGAAUCCCAAAGAUUCCCUGCAUUCCUAGCCUUGUCCUCAAAUAUCCUAGCGUUUCUUUCACGCCACACAACCCAGAUUAACGCUAUACUCGCGUUUUGCCAUAGAAUUACCCCUCUCUUGGACUUGCCAAAUCCUUUGUAAUUGAUGAACAUCAUGUCUGAAAUGCUUUUCGGAGGAACCCAAUCCAUCUUGGCUAGCUGAAAAAGUCUGUGCCACAACCCCAACAUAACUGAGCAAUGAAGGAAGAGAUGAUCUGCUGAUUCUCCUUGUUCCAUACACAACUUACAUAUGUCAGGGCUAAUAGCUUUGUGGGGUCUCCUCAAUUGUAACGAGUCAUUGGUAUUCACCUUCUUAUGUGCCACAAGCCAGAUAAAGGCCUUAACUUUGAAAGGGACUUGAGAUUUCCAAACAAACUAAGUGGGGAAAAAUGGAGAUGAAUCAGGCAUUUGGGACAGGGCUGUAAAGAAAGAUCUGACUGUGAACAAACCUGAAGAACAUAAGGACCAUGAUCUCGCGUCUGAAGCUGAAGUGGAUAAGUUCAUACAAUCUAGAGAGUGCAUGAGGCGCUCUAGAUCUUCUAUCUCAGAAUCGGUUAGAUUACGACGGAAAUUAAAGUUCCAUGAGAAAGGGCGAGACGAACCAAGGAUUGAAGAUAUUGGAAUAUUUUUAUCCAUUACUACUCGAAAUAGUCUUGGAUAUUGGUCUUUUAAAAUUUGGUCCCCCCACCACAAAUCUUCCCAAAAGCGAAUUCUUUCCCCAUCUCCUACGAUAAACCGAGUAUACUUGGAAAAAUCCUGAAAGCCUUGUGCUAUGGCCUUCCAAGGACAGCGGUGUGACCAUCUGACUAUAGUAUUGGCAUCCCAACCAUUUGAGUGUGUCCCAUAUAUGUUAAGAAUGACUUGAUGCCAAAGAGAUGUACUCUCCCUAGAGAACCUCCACAACCAUUUCCCUAGAAGAGCACGAUUCCUUAAAGGAAUUUUCCCAAUCCCCAAACCUCCUAUAAUCCUCGGCUUGCAUACUGCUUCCCACCUAACAAGAUGAUCUCUUUUACCUUCCCCAACCCCUGACCAUAGAAAGUCCCUUUGUAACCUCUCUAUUUUUGCAGCCACUGAAGCUGGAAUCUUAAACAAAGAAAGGAAGUAGCUUGGGAUAUGGGAAAGGCAAGAGUG